rnacentral:rRNA from 1 species
CUACUGCUGUUACGGCUUACCCCAGUCAUGAAUCCUGGCUGGUAUCGCCCUCCCUUACGAUUGAGCUAACUUCUUCUGGUAAAACCACCCACUCCCAUGGUGUGACAGGCGGUGUGUACAAGACCGGGAACAUAUUUCACCGCGACAUGCUGAUCCGCGAUUAUGGCGAUUUCCGACUUCACGCAGUCGGGUUGCAGACUGCGUCGGACUACGAUCGGGUUUCUAGGAUUGGCUCCCCUCGCGGGUUGGCGACCCUCUGUCCCGACCAUUGUAUGACGUGUGAAGCCUACCCGUAAGGGCGUGAGGACUCCAGCGUCAUCCCACCUUCCUCCGGUUUGUCACCGGCAGGAGUCUCAUUAGGUGCCCUUUCGUAGCAACUGUAUGAGGUUGCGCUCGUUGCGGGACUCCAACGCCCAACAUCUCACGACACGAGCUGACGACAGCCAUACAGCACCUGUGUUCCGGUUCUCUUGCGAGCACUCCCAAAUCUCUUCAGGAUUCCAGACAUGUCAAGUGGAGUAAGGUUUUUCGCGUUGCAUCAGAUCAUCCACAUCAUCCACCGCUUGUGCGGGUCCCCGUGAAUUCCAUACUGAGUUUUAAUCCUCUUGCGACCGUACUCCCCAGGCGGUCAACCGCACCCCGAUUAGCUGCGCUACCAAGGCCGAAGGCCCCAACAGCUAAGUUGACAUCGUUUAGGGCGUGGACUACCGGGUAUCUAAUCCUCUUUGCUCCCACGCUUUCCGUGCAUGAGCGUCAGUGUUAUCCCAGGAGGCUGCCUUCGCCAUCGGUGUUCCUCGCAUAUCUACGCAUUUCACUGCUACGCAGAAUUCACCUCCCUCGACACACUCCUAGCUCAGUGGUUAAAAUGCGGUUCAAAGUUAAGCUCUGGAUUCAUCUUUCGAACCGCCUGCGCACGCUUUACGCCCAGUAAUUCCGAUUAACGCUUGCACCCUACGUAUUACGCGGCUGCUGGCCAUGGUUAGCCGGUGCUUAUUCUGCAGGUACCGUCCAGUUGCACGGGUAUUAUCGAUGUCGUUUCUUUCCCUGCCAAAGUGUACACAACCGAAGGCCUUCAUCGCACACGCGGGAUGGCUGGAUCAGGGUUUUCCCCAUUAAUCAAAAUUCCUGCUGCUCCCGUAGGAGUCUAGGCCGUGUCUCAGUCCCAGUGUGGCUGGAUAGUCCUCUCAAACCAGCUACGGAUCGUCGCCUUAAUGAGCCAUUCCCACCAACUAGCUAAUCCGAUAUCAGCCGCUCUAAUAGUGCGAGGCCCAGGUCCCCGCUUUCCCCCGAAGGGCGUAUGCGGUAUUAGCUACGCUUUCGCGUAAGUUAUCCACCACUACUAGGCACGUUCCGAUGCAUUACUCACCCGUUCGCCACUCGCCACCAGACCAGAAGUCCGUGCUGCCAUUCUGACUUGCAUGUGUAAACAUCCCGCCAGCGUUCGUCGACCAGAAUCAAGACC